ensembl:lncRNA
CAAAGUUUUGAUCAGCAAUUCAGAGGGAAAUCCUAUAUUAAGUGCUAUUGGCCACAUUUCAUGAAAAGUUCAACACAGUAGGGAGUGGCCGCAGGGCCCAGCUGGAAGAACCUCACUUUGUUGACACCUGGCCUGAUAGUCAUUUCCUUAGUGACCAGCCCUUCUGAGAACAGAUCUCUGAGCUGGUGUGUUAAGUUGGGGUUCUGUGGUAACACUGACAACUGGAUCCUCUGGAAGGAAUGUCCAAGAAGUGGUGAGAAAAUUUCCAACAGGUGUUGAGGCAGCUCUAGGUGGGGAGUUAAGUUGGAGAGAAGGCUUUCGAGGGGCUUAGAAUCUUCCUUCUCCCAAGUCAGGAGAACGAAAUGACUGCUUCCUGAGGUUGAAAUCCCAACCUCCAAUGAGAUGGUAUUAGGAAGUAGUAUCUUUGGGGAAUUGAGCAGAUCAUGACAUUGGAGCUGUCAUUACAGGAUUAGUAACUUAUAAGAAAAAGUCAUCUCUCUUGACCAUGUGAAGAGUCAACCAGAAGACAGCCAUCUGCACACUUGGAAGCUGGCAUUCACCAGAUACCAGACUAUGCAGCCCUUUGAUAUUGGACUUGCCAACCUCUAGAACUAUAAGAAAUAAGUGCUCAUUGCUUCGGACACCCAGGCUGUUGUAGCAGUCUGAACUGAAAAUAACACUAGGAAUUGGCUUCAGGAGUUGAAUGCUGUCUACAGCAUGCAGCUGGAACUGCAUCUCCAAGUGAAGUUUAGCACAGAAGUCCAAGUUCCAUGAGCUCUAGACAGUUCGCAUGGCUGUUCUCACCAGCAGGAUCUGAUUUUCCCGAAGCAGUGACUUCCUAGGAGCCUUCAGAGAAAAGGGAGCAGAAAACCAAAACUCAUACCUAUAUGGUGUUGGAUAUAAAACUAAUAGGAUAAAAAUGAAAACAGGAAGCCUGAAAGUAAAGUUGCCAAACCCCAAAUCAUGAUCUAAAGUUGUAUUCUUCAUAUGUUGACAUGCUUAUUGACUGCCUCCUCCAUUAAAAUGGAUUUUCUUUCAUGAGGACAAAAGACUGUUGUGUUCACCAGUGAAGCUCCUCUUCACAGAAUACUACCCACUUAAUGGAACUACUUUGGCAUGAAGAAAGACAUUAAUUAUUGCAUGGUAAAUGAGGUUACUUGGAAGAAAACAGACUUGCUAUCUACCUUGCUCCUGCUCUACUGAUCUG